GAGAGCCGGAUGCGGGAAAUCUGCACGUCCGGUUCGGAGGGAGGGGCGGCUCAACCCAAU
rfam:Lentisphaerae bacterium GWF2_57_35 gwf2_scaffold_200, whole genome shotgun sequence.